rnacentral:misc_RNA from 1 species
AACGCACAUUGCACCCGGUGGUAUUCUGCCGGGUAUGCCUGUUCGAGCGUCAUUUCUACCCUCAGGCCUUGCUGUUCAGGCGGCGAAGGCACUGGUGUUGGGAGUUUUACAGCGCCGGAUAUCUUCUAGCUGCUGUAGUCCCUAAUUUCAUCGGCGUAGACGUGUACGUUGCCCCCUGCGUAGUGGUUUUUCUUUCUCGCAUCGGGUCGUGCCGCCGUACUGCCGCAAAACACUUUCAAUGAGUUUGACCUCGAAUCAGGUAGGGUUACCCGCUGAACUUAA